rnacentral:misc_RNA from 1 species
UUAAGUUCAGCGGGUCUUCCUACCUGAUCUGAGGUCAAACUUUCAGAAGUUGGGGUUUAACGGCGUGGCCGAGCCGCGCUCCGGUGCGAGGUUUCAAAAGUUACUACGCAGAGGAGGCUGCGGCAAGACCGCCACUGAAUUUAGGGGGCGGCGACCCGCGACGAGGCGGGUGCCGGUCCCCAACGCCAGGCCCCGGAGGG